GUAGAAUCAAGUCUGCUUUCCUCAACUCGGUUUUAUGUGCAGCAUUUAAAAUGUAUUAAUUGUUAAUAUAAUUUAAAUGCCAAACGUUUAUGAUUUAUUUAAAUUGCAAGUAACUUUUCAAUGCAAUGGCCAAUAAUAAAUAAAUUAUCGAUACACGCACAUGAAAUGCAUUAGCGUUUAAAUUAAUAUUUACUGUUUGAAAAUCAUCAACAUGGUGGAGGAGCCCAUUAGAAUUUGCUUCUAAAAUACGAAGGACCUUGCGAAGAACCCACUCAGCAUUCGAGCACGCUAUAGGAGAAAACACAUUUCCAACAUCGGAAUGUUGGCCCAUAUUGAUGGAGGAAAAACCACGGAGCGGAUUUUCUGGUGCAUGAACAGCAGGAACACUUUCGCGGCAUCACGAUUUGUAGCGCGAUAUCGAUAUCGGUUCAAUCAGUUGGACACCUCGUUCGGUUCGACUCGAUCCACCCUGCAAAAGUGAAGGUGCCGUCGCGGUUAUCGCGCGUAUGCCACCAAAAAUACGGCGGAACCAGUCAGAAUGCGAACAAGCAAAGAAGAAAAACAACAUCCCCAAAUAUCUAAAAUCUUGGAUCACAUUAUAUUGAUGUAGCAAAAAAAAACACCACCGAGCGGAUGCUGUUCCAUUCCGGCAAAACGCACGCAAAGUGCAACGCAGUGACGGAUUUUCUAGAGCAGUAGCGCGAGGACGCCAUCACAACUUGCAGUACGGCGAGACCUUCGAAUACAUCUGUAGGGACAUACCGGGGCACAUAACUUUCACAAUGUAAGUCGCUGGCAGCUGUCGACGGAGCGGUGGAUGUUUUGGACGGAUCGAAGCGAAUCUCCACGUUCAUUAAGAAGAUGCAUUUCGGCACCUUCGUUUCCGCCCCCAACAUUCACCACGGAGCGGCACUCCAACCUUGUAUUGAAGUACACAAUUAGAUCGUAAAAUUUUAAAUAUCUGGAAUAUAAAUAAAUAUUUCAAUGUACUUCAUGUU